GGGGCAUGUCCGUUGGCUGGAAUCAAAGGUAUCACCUGGAGGGCUGAGAACAACAGAGAGAGUCCAUGUCCCAAGACAGACCGUGAUUCUGCAUGCUACCCUAAAAUGAGCAGCGUGACUCUACUGAUAUCAGCAGAGUGACUUCUGAGAAGUACAGUACAUAUGUGCUGUAUAUAGUACAGAAAUUCCAAGAGAAGAUCUGUAGAACAACAGAACUGUGGACUAGGCAAGAUGAGUGUGAUCUAGUCCAAGGAGACAUAUGUCCUAUCUUUAGAGCCCUGCAAAUCUGCAGCUAUCCGCUUCAUAUCCUUGGAUAUCCACAGCCGCAGAUGCAGAUAUCCACAGACCGCAUUUGCAGAUUGCAGAUCAAAUGCAGAUACAAAUUUUGUAUCCGCUCAGAACUCUACCCAUCUUUACAACUGGAAUGUACCUGCCUCUUAUUCUGCACCCAAACAGGAACAGUGUGAAAACUACAGAGCACAGCAAUUUGUAUUUGCCCCCACUCCUUCUCAGUCUAAAAUUAUUUAACAAAGAGCAUCAGACUAUCUGCGAACAGUUACAGCACCCUCUGCUGCAGCUACAGAGUAGAGAAUGGUAGGUACAGUUA